rnacentral:ncRNA from 1 species
AUGAUAGAGGCGCAGUUUUCAUCAGUAGCACUGUUUUUAAAUGACAGUUUAGGUGUGAAAGGGAAAAUUGCCGAAACAAAGUAUGUUCUGUCAAGCUGCUUUGUUGGUUUGCCUGCAUAAUAUGGGGCUGACUGUCACUUUUUGUGGAGCGCUAUCGGU